UAAUCUUUCUCUUUAAAGUGAGAGUUUGUC
rnacentral:piRNA from 1 species